rnacentral:misc_RNA from 1 species
CCACGCUUUUAACGCAAAACAAAUAUCCAGAAUAAAACUUACUUGAAAUAUUCUUGAGCAGCGCUCGUGUACCACGUAUUGUUGUAGCCUUGAUUUGAAUCUCUACCCAAAUGUUCGGCUAUUAGAGAAGAAUUACUAGGUUCUAUCGAAUCGAGCGAACCAAACAUAUUGUCGAAUGUAUAAGAAAUAUUAGCGUCAAACGCUCGACAAUGUGGUGUAUUCCAUGGAUUGUCACAUGUGGUCCAAGGUAAAAGGCUGGAGAAUGAGGCGAAGAAAUACCUCACUUUUAAAAGUGGCACCAGGCGACCCCAACAAGUGAUCGCACCUUUUCGAUUGAACUGGCCCAGAGCAAGUUCCAUGUAAAACAGCGGAAUUCCUCCUACCACCAACAUUAUACAAUAUGGAACCAGAAAAGCCCCUGCAAGCAUAAAUAUAGUAUAACAUAAAUAAUAAAAUAAUAACUUUCUCUAUGAUAAUCAGAUAUAACAAAAAUUUCUAAAACUGUAAUUAACGGAGCGAAGAAAUGUCUGAACGUUAAAAACUUUUAAAUACUUUCACGUAUGCUGGUAUUUAGGUAUAAAUAAAAUAACACCAAGUUUUUUCAUUAGAAAACGAGAAAAUCAUGUUCAUAUCUUUGAUAAAAUUGAACGCAUUUAAUUUAUUUACAG